UGGGUCGGCAUCAGGAAAUGCAUCCUCUAAAAAAACAUCUGCCAGACUAAGUGUAUAUAAGGGUUAAAUGGAUGAAAUAGGAGCGUAGAGGGGGAUGGGGUAAAUGUAGUGUCUAAAAUAUUGGAACAGUAGGAAGCGUUUAUGGGCAAAAGAAUGUAGGAAGUGGGGGACAACGGUAGUGUUGACUGAUGAAUCGUACUACUAAAUAAAAGAAUAAAAUUCUGUGCGCAUUAGUUAUGCACUAAAUUUUGUGAAAGGCUUAAUUUUUAGUUUAUAUGAGCCCAGUCUUUGACCUUUUCCAUGAAAUUUGCAUUACCUGAUCGGUGGAGAGCGCUGAAUUCAUUUGUACAUUUUUUUUUUUUUUUUUGGUUAAACUGAAGACUACUUCGGCCUGGUUCCUGCCAUUCAAAUUCCAUUUCUUGCGUGUGUGUUUUUUUUUUUCUAUUUAUUGUUUUUUGUUGUGUUUUUACAUUCAUUCCUACUAAGAUUUUUGGUAGACCUAAAUAACUCCGCGUCGGGUAUUUUUGGGGGAAAUUGCAGUUUCCAAUAGUAUUUGGGUUGCUUAUUAAGAAUUUACCGUUAAUUUUGGUGGUCAACCGUAAUUAACCCCCAGGGGCUAGUACUAAACACGGCGAAAUACAUUUGAUGUCCCAAUGACCAAUCCCAAAUCCUUAGUAACUGUCGUAUUCGCGGGAACGUUCCUUACAGUCCGUGCGAAGUUAUUGCUUAGAAGUGCCGGAUUUUUUUGUACGUUCUUUGUUUAUAUAAAGAAUUUUUUAUUUACUAUUUUUGCUGAGGAAUUUUUUAUAGUUUCUUAGUUAAUUUAAAGAUUUUAUCUACGUUAUACGAAAGUGCAGCUCUUGAGUCUUGACUAGAUUAUAUUUUGUUUGCGUGCAUUGCGGGUAAGCAUGGAUAACAUAAGAAUUCCUCCUGGAAAUGCUCUUCCCUGAUAAAAUCCGGAUAACUUGUAGAAUCCGAAACGUGAUUGUUUGUUUUUGGAGUUGAUCUAAGGAAUUGUGGCGCGUCGGGUAUUUCUUUGGAAUUCAAGCGUUCCUUGAAAAAUAAGGCCCCAUUACGAUAUUGAGGCCUUUGGUUCAGCAGUGCUCUAGCUUUGUGGAUUAUUUUGACCGUGGCUACCUAGGUAUAGCCUACCUAGUAGGUAGGUAGCCAUUGCUAGUUAGCCCUAGCUACCUAGCCCUACUAGUAACUCAGUCUCACUAAUACCAUAGUUGUCAUUCAAAGUAAGUAUACAAACCAGAAGGAGAAAGAGAUUGGUGACAUGAAACAAGUGUGGAUAAUUUCCCUGCUCCCCCCAUCUCCAAUGGUCAGCUAGUUCAACAACUGCUCUCAGCUCGCUCUGAAGGAUACUGUAAAGAAGUAGAUAGAAAACACAGAAAAGAAAAGAAAGCUGUCAUCUCAUUCAGUCUACUUUCAUACCUUCAUCUUAAGACUAGAUACAAACUGACCCACACAACUUGUUGAACAGCCACUACUGGAUGCAAGGAAAGUGUCCGAGGACCUAUGGGCAUCGUUCUUCAAGUAAAAGGAAGUGAAAGUUGUCUGUCUUAGCCAUAGGCCAGCUUUUGAAAUUGUCAGAACAGACAUUCUUCUUGAAUGCCAUAUUAGAGCUCAGACUUAUGUCAAAUAUGCAUUCCUGAUAGUUUCCCUUAACCAAAACGCGGCCUGUGCUAACAAAAAGCCUUCAACAUCUAGGUUUGAGAUGUCGAGUUCUUUUUAAAUAAGCACGCAGUACUCUGACAAGACAUAGUAAAAUUUCUUUUUAAAUAAGCACGCAGUACUCUGACAAGACAUAGUAAAAUUUCUUUUUAAAUAAGCACGCAGUACUCUGACAAGACAUAGUAAAAUUUCUUUUUAAAUAAGCACACAGUACUCUGACAAGACAUAGUAACAUUUCUUCAGGGUCAUUAUCCACAGUCUCUGAAAGAAGGUAGUAAUAUCCGAAGAGGGUGGUGGUCUUGGUCUUUUUUGAUCAUUUGAUUUUUUUUAUGGUUACUUCUGAUCUUUAGUUGUCUUCAAUUUGUGGAAAUAAGGCUGAUGCAGUCCAAGUUUAGGAUCGUCUUGUCUAUAAUUCUAGUGCCCGAGCUAUUCUUAAAUUCAGAUGAACUUUUACAUAUUUAAUGAGACCAUUGUAAGUUCAACUUAACUAUCUCCCUGAAGUAAGUAGUGGAUGGUAACUAGAUGGAAGUAGAUACCAAACCUAACUCUGUUCCCAAUAUGUUAAAAGAACGAAAAAGCUGGAUUAUACUUAAAACUCUGUUCUCUUUGCUUUCCUGUUACAAUGCGAGGCUAAAAAAAAAAAAAUUAUUGUAUAUGGCCUGCGAGUUUGCUUUCCUGUUACAAUGCGAGGCUACAAAAAAAAAAAAUUAUUGUAUAUGGCCUGCUAGUUUGUUGAUGAAUGGGUUUCUUACAGUCAAAAUAUUUAAGUGUUCCUGCUUCCUUAUUGUCUGAGGCAAGUUACUUGCUUUCACAUGAGUCCUGUAGAAAUUUUACUACCUUAACAUUAACUGAUAACACUCAGUAUGAACCACCUGUUUGCACCCUUGACCCUGUGGUUUAAUGGCUGUCAGUCAUUUGGAAUCUAGUUCAUUUGUAUGAUGUUCACCCUUACAGUGAUGGAGCAUACGGGUCAACAAUUGUAUUAGGUACUCAAAACCAAACCCAAGCCUGUAACCUGUUCUUGUAAAAGCAACAGCAAAAGAUGGUGCAUAAUUAUGAUAGAAAGUUGGUUAUGCAGUUUAGUUGGAGUCCUGACAAAUUACAAUAAAAUCAAUAUUGAAGUUGGCAGUCCUUAUUCAUGCCGUGUCAGCUUUGUU